CUAGUACAAGUCUUUGACUUCCAAAGCCAGCCUAUAAAUACUGCAUAUCCUCUCUGACAUAAAAGUUCUUGCUCCAUAGCAAACCAAGUGGAGAAAGGAAAGGAAGCAUACUCGAAACUUCGCCCAACACCACCCACCGAUCAUGAGUGCAAGAAAUGCUAUCAUAUGCUUUGUGUUGAUUCUUGUAUUGUUCCCGGAUCAUGGCUCCGCAGGAUGCUGGGUGAAUAUCAAUGGCGGCCCACUCUGCAUAGGCUUUCUGUGCAAGGCGACUUGCUUGAUUGCGGAGAAGAUGUUUAAUUGCGUUCUCAAGGAGCACAGGUGCGAGGGGACACCGCUCAAUAGCGAAUGCAUGUGCUAUCUCUGCGACAAAUAGUCGGUUAACAUGGGAGCUGAAGAUAGCCUCAUGAUUACAAAGUGUCAAACAAUGGGAAUGAAUAAUUUCUAAUAGAAACCAGUAUCCUCAAAUCCGAUGCAGUUUCCUGCAUUCUCAAAUGCCGUGUCAUCAAUAUUCAUGCAUACUCCAAGAUUUCGCUGCAAAACAACAACAGGCAUGUGGAUGGCAUGCCAAUCAUGUGCUAUGUACUUUCA